UACGUAGGGGGCAAGCGUUGUCCGGAUUUAUUGGGCGUAAAGAGCGUGUAGGCGGCUAGAUAGGUCCGUUGUGAAAACUGGAGGCUCAACCUCCAGCCUGUCGAUGGAAACCAUCUGGCUAGAGUCCGGAAGAGGAGAGGUGGAAUUCCUGGUGUAGCGGUGAAAUGCGCAGAUAUCAGGAAGAACACCCGUGGCGAAGGCGGCUCUCUGGGACGUGACUGACGCGAGACACGAAGGCCAGGGGAGCAAACGGG
rnacentral:rRNA from 1 species